GUUUUUCUUUCCAACACUCAGAAGUUAUAGUGACCAUGGGCCCAUAUUCUUAGGUGGUGACAGAGCAUUUAAACCUGAGUCUAUUGAUUCAAUGUAAAUUCCAAGAGGGCUGGGAGUUUUGCCUGGUUCAUGCACGGCUGUACCUCCCUGCCUAGAAUUGUGCUUGAAACAUGGAAGAUAUGCAAGAAGCAUAUGUUAGAUGCAGGAGUAAUUGCUUCCCUUCCAGACCACCUUGUUGGUAUUCUCCAUUUCACAGCAAUCCCCACCUGGCUCACCUUACCCAUUUAAGUCCCCUUCCAGGGGGAGUUUCUGGCGUGGCUCAGCCGUAACGAACCUAACUAGUAUCCAUGAGCACGCGGGUUCAAUCCCUGAUUCCGCGCAGUGGGUUAAGGAUCUGACGUUGCCGUGAGCCGUGGUGUAGGUCACGGAUCUCGGAUCUGGCAUUGCUGUGGAUGCUGUGGCGCAGGCUGGUAGCUUCAGCUUCUAUUUGACCCCUGGCCUGGGAACUUCUGUAUGCCGCAGGCGCAGCCCUAAAAAGACCAAAAAAAAAAAGUUCCCCUUCAGGCCCUUGCAGUCAAGUUUGAGAGCCUCGAUGUACAAAGGCAGGAUUUAAAAGCAGGCAUGAUACAGCCCCUGCUUGUUGGAGACAGAAGAGUAGACAAGAAAAUCAGCAGCAGUGGCACUUACAGAGCAGGUUCUAUGUGCCAAGGCGAUAUUGGCUCCUUUAAUCCUCCGAACGCCCCUAUGAUAGGUCCUGUUAUUAUCCUUACUGUGCAGAAGAGGAAGAUGAGGCACAGGGAGAGAAAGUAACUUGAGCAAGAUGACACAGCAGCAGGUAGAGAAGGUGAAAGACGAUCCAGGCGGGUGAGCCCCAAAGCACAUGAAAAAUAACCGUGUGAGGAUGAAAAAGGGAAGAGCCAGGCAAUGGAGGCCCCUUGGCUUUGGUCCCUCGAGAUCCUCAUGAAGCCACUUGCCAGCAGAUAUGGAAUUCUGGGACUUCACGGCUGGAAGCAAUGAUGCACGGAUUCCUGGACUGCAUCUUCUAUUCAAUUCAACAAGAAGCCAUCCCUGAGCAGAUGUUCCAGGAGCAGCCCUAUGAGAAGCUACAGCCCAAGUCACAGAUGCAGCUCGGAUCCGGCAUGGUUGUGGCCGUGGGCAUAGCCGUGGCCGUGGGCAUAGCCUGGCAGCUACAGCUCCCAUUCGACCCCUAGCCCAGGGACUUCCAUAUGCCGAACGUGCGGCCCUAAAAAAUAAAUAAAUAAAGAUGCUCCCACCAUCUCUUAGGUUUGCUAAAGGAUGCUUAGAGCCCCAGAGCACCACAAAGCACUGAGGCUGGCAGCUGGAGAUGAGGGCCAGCACAGCCAGACAGACGUCUGGCGGAGCAGGGAGAGGAAACCUCCCCCCAGGCCAUGGCAGCUUCCAGAAGGGGCAGAGGGGUGGACUAGAAGGUUUCGGCAACACAGAGACUGAUUCAGCUGGAAUGUGGGCUCUCCAUGUCUACGGGCUCCAUCAUCUUCUGAUGAGGGAACUCCCCUCUGAAGGGCCUCUGUUUCCUCUGAUCAGGGGACCGGAUCCAGUUUUUAUAUUUGUUCAUAAAAUCAUUUAUCCAUUCAUUGUUUGUUGUUACUUAUCCAUUCAUGGUUCCCCAAACACACACUGAAUCUCGACUGUGUGCCAGGCACUGACCCACACAUGACAGAUGAGACGGAUGAGGUCUUUGCCCUCCUGGAAGGUACCACAUAGAAGUCUGAGCCCAGUUCUCCCAUCUCUGGGAUGGAGAUAAUACAGACUUGGAAGGGUUAUUUAGAGACCUAAAGUUAUAUUGCUUUUUUUUCCUUUUUACGGCCACACUGAAUAUGGAAGUUCCCAGGCUAGGGGUCAACUCGGAGCCGCAGCUGAGGCCUCUGGUAGAGCCAUGGCCACACAGCAUCCAAGCCGCCUCUGCGACCUACACCACAGCUCACGGCCAUGCCGGAUCCUUAACCCACUGAGCGAGGUCAUGGAUGGUACCCACGUCCUCACAGAGACGGUGUCAGGUUCUGAACCCCAUAAGCCACAACAGGAAUUCCUAUUUUUAUGUAAAUAAAAACCAGGAAGCACGGGCGAUCCCUAGUGGCACAGCCGUCUCAGGAUCCGGCAUCAUCAGCUGCUCUGGCUUGAGUUCAAUCCUGGGCCCAGGAACGUCCACAUGCCACAGGCGGUGGCAAAAAAAAUAAAAAUAAUAAAUAAAUAAAUUAGCAAGUAUUUCCUUAUCAAAUGCAAGGCCAUGUUCUAGACUAGAAAUCAGCAGUUUAUCUUCAAGGGCGAGAGAGACCGUAUUUUAGGCUCCCGGUUGCUGUUGCUUCAACUCAAAUCUUCCUCGCCGCACAAAAGCAGCUGCAGACAACACAUAAACCAACAGACCCGGCUGGGGUUCUCCUAAAAUGUUGUUCACAAAUUCAGCCAGGGGAUCCAUGAACCAUCAUCUGCCUAUGUCUGUCCCAAACCAGCCCUGGCCUGAAGGGUUCUCUGAUGACAGACGUGUCCCGUAACUGCACUGUCCACUGGGAAGGUAGCUCGUGACACGGAAGCUGGAUAUUUUUUUUUUUCCGUUUGCUUCAACUUUCAUUCGUUAAGAUUUCAAUAUAAGUAGCCACAGGUGGCGUGUGGCUCCCACGUGUCACCUUACGCAUAGAGAAG
rnacentral:lncRNA from 1 species